rfam:Actinoplanes sp. N902-109, complete genome.
GGCAGAGUGGGGGUCCACGAGCGGCGACGCCGUGGAGGAAGCCGGUGCGAAUCCGGCGCGGUCCCGCCACUGUGAACGGGCACGGCGAAAGCCACGCAGCCCGGCAGUCAGGAACUCCUUGUCGCCGUGUUUCCUUC